rnacentral:lncRNA from 1 species
GCGUUCUUGGCAUCUCGCUGCCCUUCCACAGCCAUCCAUCAACCCUCCACAACCGCCCAAAGCAAUUCCCACAAUUGCUUAAGAGAUCAUUGCCACAUUCCGCCGUCAUCUCCACCACCACGGAUCAUCCUUUGAUCUCCCCGUGAAUUGCAACAGGUUCUGGUUUCCUACCUUACUGCUGCUGCAAUUUAGUUAUCCUUAUUCGA